rnacentral:rRNA from 1 species
GGUAACAUAAGAGCUUGCUCUUGAUGACGACCGGCGGACGGGUGCGUAACGCGUAUGCAACUUACCUUGGACAGGGGGAUAGCCCGUGGAAACAUGGAUUAAUACCCCAUAACAUAUUUUACGGCAUUGUAGAAUAUUGAAAGAUUUAUCGGUUCAAGAUGGGCAUGCGUAUGAUUAGUUAGUUGGUGAGGUAACGGCUCACCAAGACGAUGAUCAUUAGGGGGUCUGAGAGGAUGAUCCCCCACACUGGCACUGAGAUACGGGCCAGACUCCUACGGGAGGCAGCAGUAGGGAAUAUUGGUCAAUGGGGGCAACCCUGAACCAGCCAUGCCGCGUGCAGGAAGACGGCCUUCUGGGUUGUAAACUGCUUUUGACAGGGAAGAAAGUGAACCAUGCGUGGUUUUUUGACGGUACCUGUAGAAUAAGCACCGGCUAACUCCGUGCCAGCAGCCGCGGUAAUACGGAGGGUGCAAGCGUUGUCCGGAUUUAUUGGGUUUAAAGGGUGCGUAGGCGGACCUAUAAGUCAGUGGUGAAAUACUUCGGCUCAACCGGAGAGGUGCCAUUGAUACUGUAGGUCUUGAGUGAACUCGAAGUAGGCGGAAUUGAUGGUGUAGCGGUGAAAUGCAUAGAUAUCAUCAAGAACACCGAUAGCGAAGGCAGCUUACUUGGUUUCAACUGACGCUGAUGCACGAAAGCGUGGGGAGCGAAC